UGGAAAGUGAAUACAAUUGUUAGGUAUUUAUAGGGAAAAAAUCCAGAAUUUGUUGGUAUUUUUUUAAAAAAAAUUCGAAGGUCAUCGGAUUUCUGGGAAAAAAAAAACCAUCGAACCAUCCGAGAAGCGUCACGUGGCGUUUUUCAGUUGGGUUCUGUCAGGGCUGACGUCAGUGAGCAAAAGUUAAAUUUUUUUACCAUUGGCACGUGAAUAAAAUAAUCUCUAAUUCUAAAAAAAAUAAAUAAUAAAGCUUGUUUUUGU
rnacentral:lncRNA from 1 species